rnacentral:rRNA from 1 species
UACGAAGGGUGCAAGCGUUAAUCGGAAUUACUGGGCGUAAAGCGCGCGCAGGCGGCGGUUUUGGCCCGGCGUGAAAGCCCCCGGCUCAACCGGGGAGAGUCGUCGGGGACCGCACCGCUUGAGGGCGGUAGGGGCUGGUGGAAUGCCUGGUGUAGUGGUGAAAUGCGUAGAGAUCAGGCAGAACACCUGGGGCGAAGGCGGCCAGCUGGGCCGUCCCUGACGCUGAGGCGCGAAGGCGUGGGGAGCGAACGGG